AGAGUUUGAUCAUGGCUCAGAACGAACGCUGGCGGCGUGCCUAACACAUGCAAGUCGAACGGGGAUAGAUAGCUUGCUAUUUAUUCUGGUGGCGCACGGGUGAGUAACGCGUAGAUAAUCUGCCUUGGACUCUGGGAUAACAUUUCGAAAGGGGUGCUAAUACCGGAUAAGCCCACGGGGACGUAAGUUCUUGCGGGAAAAGGGGGCCUCUGCAUAUGCUCUUGAUCCAAGAUGAGUCUGCGUACCAUUAGCUAGUUGGUAGGGUAAGAGCCUACCAAGGCGACGAUGGUUAGCUGGUCUGAGAGGAUGAUCAGCCACACUGGAACUGAGACACGGUCCAGACUCCUACGGGAGGCAGCAGUGGGGAAUUUUGCGCAAUGGGGGAAACCCUGACGCAGCAACGCCGCGUGAGUGAUGAAGGCUUUCGGGUCGUAAAGCUCUGUCUAGAGGGAAGAAAUGAUAUUGGGUUAAUACCCUGAUUCUGACGUACUCUGAAGGAASCACCGGCUAACUCCGUGCCAGCAGCCGCGGUAAUACGGAUGGUGCAAGCGUUGUUCGGAAUUAUUGGGCGUAAAGCGCGUGUAGGCGGUUUGUUAAGUCUGAUGUGAAAGCCCCGGGCUCAACCUGGGAAGUGCAUUGGAAACUGUCAGACUUGAAUACGGGAGAGGGUAGUGGAAUUCCUAGUGUAGGAGUGAAAUCC
rnacentral:rRNA from 1 species